UGGGGGAAGAGCCCUGUGUGGCUUCUGCCAGUGGUGAAUGACUCGAGCUAAUGUGCCUCCACUUACAUGUAUUGAUCGUUUACCUCCCUCUGUUCCCCACACUAGAUCUAUGAGCAAGGAGAAAGAAAAAAGGAGUUCAGGUUUAAACUCUUAUCACUGAAGUUCUGCUGUCCAGGCAGCUGCAGAGGAGUUUAAAGGGCAGCCAUCGUCCCUGGUCAGCCAGCCUGCCAUUAAUAACAUUUGCAUCUGUGACAAUGACAAACCUGCAGUACUUGAAGAGAGUUUAUUAAGCUACUGGACAAAGUUGUCUCUUUGAUCCUCUGCUAAGAAAGUCAAGAAUUGUGGCCUGCAGUGAGGUGCUAAUUGAUGACCAAUCAGAUCAAUGCCUAUUUCAUUAAUCAAGAGUUUCAAAGCAAAAUCCACAUGAAGGAAAGAAACUUUCCUCUCGUUCCCUCUCUGGAAACAGAAGCUUGACUGAUGGAUUCCCCUCCAUGAGUUUGCUUCCACUGAAUAUGGUCCAAACUCUCAUUUGCUGGACAAACUAUUCUGCAGCCCAGUUCAAAUUAAAGGCAAAGUCUUUGGAGCUGGAAGACAGAGGUUCAAGUUCAGCUUCCCCAAGUUGUACAAUGUCUUUGUCAAUAAAAUGGGGCCAAUGAA